AGAUAGUCCUCGACACAUUUCCAGUCAUAUAUCUCUUCCCGGAAUCAACCACAUGUUGGUACCGAUAUUGUGGAAGUUUUACAACACCUCCAUGUACUGAGGAUAUUAUAUGGACCAUUUUUGAACACAGCAUUUCUAUGUCAGAAUACCAGAUAAAUGCAUUCCGGGCCUUGAUGGGAACUCCAAGUAUGUUUGAAUACAAUAUCGUGGAUACAUUUAGGCCUGUUCAACCAUUGUUGCAACGUACAGUAACCCUUAGCUGUCCUCGAAGGAGAACAUAUGACAAUUACCGUCGUUUUGAAUCUGAUUACGGAUGCAUCAACCAUGGAUAUAGGAGAGAAAAGAGUCAAAAGACGAAUUCCCAGUCAACAUCUAUAUCCGAUUACAGCGUGUGUUUAUGGGUUGAUUUUUACAACCAAAACUAUGUUGAUGAACCCUAGUUAACAAAAUUAAUUAUUAAAA